rnacentral:rRNA from 1 species
GUUGAACGCUGGCGGCGUGCUUAACACAUGCAAGUCGAACGGAACGGCCCAAGAUUGCUUGGGUACUCGAGUAGCGAACGGGUGCAUAACAAAUGAAUGUUCUGCCCUGUACUUCGGAAUAAGCCUGGGUAACUGGGUCUAAUACCGGCUAGGUGAACGUCCUGGCUGUUGCGGUGGGAAGCUCUUUCGGUGUGGGGUGAGUUCUGGGCCUUUCAGCUUGUUGGUGGGGUAUUGACCCAACAAUGCGCCGACGGGAAGCCGGCCUGAGGGGGUGUACGCCGACAUUGGGACUGAGAGGCGGCCGCGACUCCUACGGGAGGCAGCUGUGGGGAAUAUUGCACCAGGGGAGCGAGCCUUAUGCAGCGACUCCGCGGGUGGGAUGACGGCCUACGGGGUGUAAACAGCUAUUGAUAGGGACCAAGCGUUUUGUGACGGUACCGGGAGAAGAAGCACCGGCUAACUACGUG